rnacentral:lncRNA from 12 species
CUUUGAUCUUCAGUCUAAAGCUGAGCGGUUUCUCAAAUAAGCAUUGAUGCAUUUAAUAGCACAACGUAACAACGCAAAUAUUAACCAAAGCGUCCGUGAAAACGCCAUAUUCUACAUUAGUUUGUAUGCCAAAGGAGACUAUAAAUGGUGCUGAGAUAGAACUGUUCAUUCUGAAGCGAUGGACAAUUUAAAAAAAAAUCUGGUUGUAAUUACAGUGGGCAAAUCAGAGAAAUCGUGAUAAUGUAAUGCCACAAGCAAUACAUACCGCACACUUCAACACUGCACUAAUAACAAGUACAUACAAGGAAUAUCUUUGCUUUUGACAGACACUGAAUAGCUUUAUUAAGAAGAAUGAAAAAGUGAGAUAGGAUAUGUAUCAUAGGCUUUACUCUGGCUUCAGCACACUAUUGUCCAGGGAGUUGAGCCCUUUCAUUGAAUUACGAGGGGAAAUAUGCUCGGGUCGCACUACAGGGUAAGUAGCUAGGGUAAGGCACAGAUGAUGACUUCUCAUUACCAAGCUACAUCCUAGCUCUGCAUGCAGAAGAAGCCUCUUGUCCCUCUCAGAGUGUUACAGGGUAUCCCGGCACACCUGUAAAUACUAUGUCCCUUUCCCCGCUUUGGAUUCUGCUCCGCUCGAGGAUGUCCAUCAGCGCACGGCCUCGGGGGGCCGGUCUGUGCUGCCCUUGCGGAGGGCAGGGCUGCAGCCGGAGCCGCUCAGAAGGCGCUGCCGGUGCCGGAGCCCCGCCCGGCCCGGGUCCCGGGCGGGCGCAGCGCUGCCCGCGGCGGAGCCCGCGAUGCGCGCAGGUGCCGGGCCCCCCCCCCCCCCCCCCCCCCCCCCCCCCCCCCCCCCCCCCCCCCCCCCCCCCCCCCCCCCCCCCCCCCCCCCCCC